UCCCAAGUAGUUCAAGCGGUAGAGAAUCUGCCUGCAAAGCAGGAGACCUGGGUUCAAUCCCUGGGUUGAGAA
rnacentral:tRNA from 1 species